AAUUCACUAGUGAUUUCCGUAGGUGAACCUGCGGAGGGAUCAUUACACAAAUAUGAAGGCGGGCUGGAACCUCUCGGGGUUACAGCCUUGCUGAAUUAUUCACCCUUGUCUUUUGCGUACUUCUUGUUUCCUUGGUGGGUUCGCCCACCACUAGGACAAACAUAAACCUUUUGUAAUUGCAAUCAGCGUCAGUAACAAAUUAAUAAUUACAACUUUCAACAACGGAUCUCUUGGUUCUGGCAUCGAUGAAGAACGCAGCGAAAUGCGAUAAGUAGUGUGAAUUGCAGAAUUCAGUGAAUCAUCGAAUCUUUGAACGCACAUUGCGCCCUUUGGUAUUCCAAAGGGCAUGCCUGUUCGAGCGUCAUUUGUACCCUCAAGCUUUGCUUGGUGUUGGGCGUCUUGUCUCUAGCUUUGCUGGAGACUCGCCUUAAAGUAAUUGGCAGCCGGCCUACUGGUUUCGGAGCGCAGCACAAGUCGCACUCUCUAUCAGCAAAGGUCUAGCAUCCAUUAAGCCUUUUUUUCAACUUUUGACCUCGGAUCAGGUAGGGAUACCCGCUGAACUUAAGCAUAUCAAUAAGCGGAGGAA
rnacentral:rRNA from 1 species